UUCCGUUCCAGCUCGCCAGCCUCGUCGGAGAACUGGAGAAGGGGAAGCGUCGCAAGCCCUGUAGCGCCCGAGCCAUGGAGAACGGGGGAGCGUCGGGCUCGGGGCCCAACUCACCGGCGCAGGCUGGCGGCGGCGUUUCGCGGCGCCAGCCGCGCGCCGGCGCCGAUCCGCUCCUCAUCGUCUGCCGCUGCUUCGGCGUCGUCACGGCGGCAACCGCGUUCCUCUGCGUCGCCGUCAACGUCCUCUCCGCCGUCCUCUCCUUCCGCGGCGGCACCGACAUAUUCGGGGGCAUAUUCCGUUGCUACGCGGUGGUGUUCGCCAUCUUCGUCGGCGUCCUCGAGACCGAGUGGGAGUUCAUCAUCAAGUUCUGGAAGAUAUUUGAAUACUUGCCUGCGAGGGGGAUGCUACAGAUAUUUGUUGCUGUCAUGACGAAGGCAUACCCAAAUGUUGAGAGGAAUGAUCUGAUUUUGCUCCAGGAGAUUGCCAGCUAUAUGCUUCUUGCAUGUGGAGCUGUCUACACAAUCUCGGGUAUAUUGUGCCUUGGUGUGUUAAAACGUCGUAAGCAGCAGAAAGCGACAUCACAGGAGCAAGCGGUAAAGGAUCUGAAGGAACUGGAGAAACGGAGAGAAGAACUUGAGUCACUGUUAAUUGCUGAGCGGUCUCAGUCGGCCUGAUGACUGAUGGCAAUGAUCAAACAUCUCUCGUCCCCAGUGUAGAUAAAUUUUUUUUUUCCAGUUGAUAGCAUGCUGCUUGGUCUCAAUAGUCAUCAGUUGUUCAUCCAGAAGUCACAUUGUUGAAGUGUAUCUCCUCUAGUUACAGUAGUGUCUUGCGGUUUUCUUCUGGGCUCUCAGCUGAAUUGUGGUCUUUCCUUUCAGAGCAUUGCAUCAGUUCAUCGGCUUGGAGUUUUUUUUUUCUCAGUUAGAUGAUGGCAUUUAUGUGAUGCAGUAUGCUGGCCUCGUGUAUGCCUAUCCUGUGCUGUGCUGUUGAAUAGUUCACUUGAAUUUUGUGUGUAAGUAAGCUGUAAGCAUGGUCUUGUUCGUGAAUCGGAGAAAUUUCGAUAUUUAACACCGAAUAUGUGCGUUUUAUGCGUUUUGACA